UGCCGGCAGCGGGCUGCACGAAUCAUCUCCAUCAACACCUGCUGCUCCCCCACGCACCGAAGAAAUCAAGAACCAAGGAACGCGAGCACGACGACCACCUGCAACAUCCUCCCCUUCUCCAAGUGCUGCUGCCCUCUCCUUUGGUUAAAUCCCCACCGAACUCUCUCUCUCUCUCUCCUACUUGUUGCUUGCUGUUUGUGUGUACAAGAACUGAGAAAGAACAUGCUGUUGAUCUUUGGAAAGUUAGCUGAGCCUUGCACUGUGUUAAACUCUCUCUUUAGCUUCUGGCCGAUGUGUGCACUUAAUUAUUGUUCUAUGUUAUAAUCUACUCUGAUAUUUGUGAAUGUGGCUGUGUGUAUACUUGUUGAUGUGUUUCGUGCAAUUUUCUAUCCCUAUCUAAAAACUUGCUUCUUCCCAGUCUUAUAUGUUUGCUGGUGAAAUUACUUUCUGUCAAUAUUGUUCUUUGUCUUUGCUUCUGCCCCUGUCUUUGAUGUAUGCUUGUCUUAGUGUUUUAGAUUCUAAAGUAAAUUGAAAAUACCAAAAAAAUAUUGCAGUCAUUCUGUACCUUGAAUCUCAUAAUUGUUUCUAUCCUUAUCUUGGAUAAUUGCUUGUGAUGUUUCGUGGUAGAUGAUCUUGUCUUGCUUUAUAGUGGGAAAUCUUCUCUUUGUUUGUUUUAAAUGCCAAAAUCCUUUCUUGUGAUCUAGCUUUAACCGAACAUUGUUGUCGCUGCCUAGUGCCUGUGGAGAAUCUCAACAAAAACUACUAUAUUUGCAUUGAUCAAAUUGGCGCCGUUGCCGGGGACUAGCAGCGAGCGAUUGUGUUAGGUUAUAGACUAGGUGUUUUUCCCCUUGUUUAGUAACCCCUAUUCUAGGUGUUUCUCUGUUUUCUAUUUGUUUCUUGUCAUAUUUAACAGGUUAUAUUAUCAUCUUGGUCAUGUCAUACUAUUCAGAUUAUUAUGGAUAUGCGAGCAGUAGCGGCAACAACAUAACAAGUCUUCAAGAUAAGAUAAAUGAGUUGUCUGGUCAGAAGCAAAUGUUAUCAAGUAAAAUAGAACAACACAAUUUGCAGCAAGGAAAUGGUCUUCAGGGAGGCCCUGCUAUUUUGAUCCUUAUUCUGUAGGCCAUCCCCAUACUUAUGUUGCUCCUGAAUGUCAUAUUUGUGGAUAUCAAGGUCAUAUUCCCGUCGAGUGUCAGCUGGGUAAAUCUUUCACCCCAAAUUGUUAUGAUAUGGGUUUUACUCCACAGCAUGAUCUGUACCACAACAAUUACCCCCUAGUGGGCUUGAUAACCCAAAUAUUACAUUUAGGAACAGCAGCCCUGAGGACUCAUCUUUUUCUUCUAGCUAUCCUAUGCAGGGAUUUAGGAAUGAAGAGGCGAAGUCACAAGCUCAGUUAAAUUUUGAAGCAGAACAACAAGCUUGGUUUGAAGAUUUUAUGAAGACGCAGCAAGAGAAGAUGGUUCAUCCACAAUCAGCUAUACUUUCAGAUGUAGAUCAAGAACAUGUGAUUUCAGAAAAUGAAGAAAAAGUUGCUCAGAUUUGGGAAGAAGAGAGAUCCGAGAUUAAAGAAGAUGAUGCACUAGAAGACAAGACACACAAUGAGCAAGAGCUGGACUAUGGAAGUAGCAAAGAUAUAGUGGCUGCCAAUCUUGAAGAUAUUGAAGAUAAAGAGGCUAAUGGAGUGGAAAAUGAAGAUAAUGAGGAGAUUCAAGUCGACAUGUCAAUUAUCAUUCAGGAGUGUGAUGAAACAGGUUUAUCAAACCCAAUUAAUGACAUUCUUCCUUAUGAAUUCCCUGCUACUACCUUGCAUUGCUUGAUACCAUCACUUAAGGUAGAACUGAAUUGUGACUUUCUUAAAUUUGAUGAUGCAUACUUUGUUAGUGACAAUACUGAAAUUCAUGAUGAUGACUCAUGUUAAUCACAUGCUAAAAUUCUGCUUAUGGAUGCAUGCUCUAAGAUUACUCGCGUCUCACAUGUGAAUAUUUAUCAUUCUCACCUUGUGCUUUAUUGCUACGCUUACAUCAUUGGUUUUUCAAUUGAUGACUUAGAGGGUGUUGGUCCUUUGACCUCUCCUAGGUGCUAUUCAUAUGAUAUAACUGAGUUUAAUGUGAUAUAUCAUCAUCGCCAUGUUUUUUAUCGAUAUGUGUAUACCAUUGGAUACUCCAUUGAUAAUUUGGAGGGGGUUGACCCUGUCUCUUUUAGUUCUUGUUGUGAGUGUAUUUCAGGCAUAUCAUAGGUGCUUUGUCAGCUUGGAAAAGUCCAGAUUCGAGUUGACAUUCCUUGGGACCCUGGUGGAUAUGAGGUUUUGAGAUGGUGUAGCAAAGAGAGUUGUAUCACACUUGAAAUAAAAUGCUGAAGCAGAUGGGAUCGAGGGAAUCAAGAAGAGUUGUCGAAUUCAGAAGAUGAGUGGCUUGGUCUGAAGGGAAGGUGUAGUCUGAUAAAAAUAUAGUUCAAAUCAUCUAAAACACCAGGUGACUUGUUUCCAGUAUAUGAGAUCAUGUUUCUUCCAUUGCCUGCAACUUUUCUCAAACUGAUCACUGCUAUUCGUUAUUGGUCACAUCAUUGCUUUCUUGUUGAAGCUGUUCUUCUUUGAGAAUCACAUAACAUUGCUUUAACUUGUUGUUUUCUUACCGAAAAAAAAAGCUGCAUUAAUUUUUUUUGUGAUUGCUAUACUCCAGGAUCUUCAUAAUGAAAAGAUACAUCAACUUUCAGUUUAAACACAACAGCUAUUGGUGCAUGUUCUUAUUGCAGUAAUCUAAAGUAUACUUCAGAUUUGUUUUAUUUUCUGCUCUCAUUCCUAAUAAAUUAAGAUUCUGACAAAUCUGAAUGUCUCCUUAUGCUAGUUAGUCCUGUAUCGACUCAAUUGAUUAGUUGCUAAGUAGUAGCUAUGAUCCCGGGAUCUGUAGCUUGUGAAAACAGUGCUAUUGAUCAUAGGUUUCUUUACAAAAUCUUUUAUCCUGUUGCAAUUUGAGCUUUCAAUAAGUGGCUUGUCCACAAGUCUUUAAAUCUCUGAAUAAGUGGCUCAGCCACAGUGUUAUCCUUGCAAAUAAGUGACUAUGUCACAAUUUGUUUCAAUAAGUGGCAGUCCACAUUGCCUUGCUCUGUUUGAAUAAGUGACUCUGUCACAUCUUUAGUUUGGAAUAAGUGGUGCAAGCACCACAAUUUAUUGCAUUUCUUGUUUCGUUUUUAUUUUUGAAAAACCAUGAACCGUGACUCGUUACUGGACUGCUGUCAUAGUUUGAAUUCAGUUUGCAAAAUCUUCUUUAUUAGUUAGGGGAGCCUAAAAUAGUUUAAAUCUUCAGUAUACUUUGAGUACAAUAAUCAGAACAUACAGCUUUACCUGUUAAGUUUAAACUGAAGUUUCUUGGGUCCUUUUUAUUGUGACGGAAAUCCUAGUUGGAGUGAUUACAUACCUCGUUUCAUGCUGUUGUCUCAUUUGCGAUCUGUUUCCUCAUUUGCAUAUCUCUUUGCUUGAGGACAAGCAAAAGUUUAAGUGUGGGGGUGUGAUAAGCAUCAUAUUUGCACUAUUUUCUGGCCAUAAUUAUAUCUGAAAUCUUGUGUUUUGAACUCUGAAUUAUUCUAAAAUGCCAAGAAUUUAUACAAAUACUUGUAAUAUGUGGCAAAAAUUACAUUGUAGCUUUUCUUUUGCAGUUAAGUGCGAAAAGGCACAUACUCUUCUCAUUUUGGACGAGCUGCUGAUGCACCUAUACACCGAAGGACUUGAGCAUAAGGAAAGAGGAAAGAAAGGGCUGAAGUGAAGAAAAAAAAGACCAACUUGCAAAAGAAGAAGAAAGGAGAAGGGCCUGGAUGUAAAAAUGUCAAAGGGAUUAAACCCUAACUCCUGCUCUCGAUCCCCUUGAGCCUGGCACUUCCCCUUUCCCCUAUCUCCUGCUGCACCACCGGCCGCCGCCGCAGCCAGGCUAGCGUGGCGGUGCACCACCGAGCUAGCUGCAGCCCCUUCCCGAUAUCCACUACUGCUCAUCCUCCAUACCGCCUCUGCCAACAGCGGGCUGCACGAAUCCUCUCCAUCAACACCUGUUGCUCCCCACUCACCGAAGAAAUCAACAGCCAAGGAACGCGAGCACGACGACCACCUGCAACAUCCUCCCCUUCUCCAAGUGCUGCUGCCCUCUCCUUUGGUUAAAUCCCCACCGAACUCUCUCUCUCUCUCUCUCUCUCUCCUACUUGUUGCUUG
rnacentral:lncRNA from 1 species